rnacentral:rRNA from 1 species
UACGGGGGGAGCAAGCGUUGUCCGGAAUCAUUGGGCGUAAAGAGCGUGUAGGCGGUCCGGUAAGUCGGCUGUGAAAGUCCAGGGCUCAACCCUGGGAUGCCGGUCGAUACUGUCAUGACUGGAGUCCGGUAGAGGAGUGCGGAAUUCCCGGUGUAGCGGUGAAAUGCGCAGAUAUCGGGAGGAACACCAAUGGCGAAGGCAGCUCGCUGGAACGGUACUGACGCUGAGGCGCGAAAGCGUGGGGAGCAAACAGG